AUAUUGUGAUUAGGACACCUUCGUAGUAACAAUUUAAACCUCUCCCAUGCGUCAUACAAGGAUUUUGUUUCUUGUUUCUCAAAAUUGGAAAUCUCAGCCCUUCAUUC